UACGUAGGGUGCAAGCGUUAAUCGGAAUUACUGGGCGUAAAGCGUGCGCAGGCGGUUGUGCAAGACAGAUGUGAAAUCCCCCGGGCUUAACCUGGGAACUGCAUUUGUGACUGCACGGCUAGAGUGUGUCAGAGGGGGGUAGAAUUCCACGUGUAGCAGUGAAAUGCGUAGAUAUGUGGAGGAAUACCGAUGGCGAAGGCAGCCCCCUGGGAUAACACUGACGCUCAUGCACGAAAA
rnacentral:rRNA from 1 species